CCUACGGGAGGCAGCAGUGAGGAAUAUUGGUCAAUGGACGAAAGUCUGAACCAGCGAAGUAGCGUGAAGGAUGACUGCCCUAUGGGUUGUAAACUUCUUUUAUAUGGGAAUAAAAUGUUCCACGUGUGCGCUUUUGUAUGUACCAUAUGAAUACGGAUCGGCUAACUCCGUGCCAGCAGCCGCGGUAAUACGGGGGAUCCGAGCGUUGUCCGGAUUUAUUGGGUUUAAAGGGUGCGUAGGUGGAUUGUUAAGUCAGGUGUGAAAGUUUGCGGCUCACCCGUAAAAUUGCAGUUGAAACUGGCAGUCUUGAGUACGGUAGAGGUGGGCGGAAUUCGUGGUGUAGCGGUGAAAUGCUUAGAUAUCACGAAGAACUCCGAUUGCGAAGGCAGCUCACUGGACUGCAACUGACACUGAGGCUCGAAAGUGUGGGUAUCAAACAGGAUUAGAUACCCCUGUAGUC
rnacentral:rRNA from 1 species